UACGUAGGGUGCAAGCGUUAAUCGGAAUUACUGGGCGUAAAGCGUGCGCAGGCGGUUUUGUAAGUCUGUCGUGAAAGCCCCCGGGCUCAACCUGGGAAUUGCGAUGGAGACUGCAAGGCUUGAAUCUGGCAGAGGGGGGUAGAAUUCCACGUGUAGCAGUGAAAUGCGUAGAGAUGUGGAGGAACACCGAUGGCGAAGGCAGCCCCCCUGGGAUAACACUGACGCUCAUGCACGAAAGCGUGGGGAGCAAACAGG
rnacentral:rRNA from 1 species